CAAGGGGUAGUUUAUUUAAAAUAUUAACUUUGGGAGUUAAUGAAAAAGAAUUUCUUUUCUCUUGA
rnacentral:tRNA from 3 species